AAGUCGUAACAAGGUUUCCGUAGGUGAACCUGCGGAAGGAUCAUUAGAAAAUUUUUGGAUUUUUUUCAAAUCCUUUACCCACCUGUGCACUGUUUAAACGCCUAUACAUUCCUGGUUCUGUAAGCUGGAAGAUUAAUAAUCUGAAAGCUUUUGAUGUGAUCCUUGAAUUAGACUGAAGAUUAUUCAGGCUUAUUCUGAAUUACAAUCAGACCAGGAAGGUUCAUCAAACUCUAAUAUAUUUACUUUGUCUGAUUUAAAUAUCCACGGAUAUUCUGAAAAAUUUUGAAAUACAACUUUCAACAAUGGAUCUCUUGGCUCUC
rnacentral:misc_RNA from 1 species